AACGAACGCUGGCGGCGCGCCUAAUACAUGCAAGUCGAGCGAGAAGGUGUAGCAAUACACUUGUAAAGCGGCGAACGGGUGAGGAAUACAUGGGUAAUCUACCAUCGAGUGGGGAAUAACCAACCGAAAGGUUGGCUAAUACCGCGUACGCCUCCGAGUCUUCGGGUUCGGAGGGAAAGCUGCACUGUGAGUGUAGCGCUCUUUGAUGAGCUCAUGUCCUAUCAGCUUGUUGGUAGGGUAACAGCCUACCAAGGCUUUGACGGGUAGCUGGUCUGAGAGGACGAUCAGCCACACUGGCACUGCGACACGGGCCAGACUCCUACGGGAGGCAGCAGUAAGGAAUAUUGCGCAAUGGGCGAAAGCCUGACGCAGCGACGCCGCGUGGGGAUGAAGGUCUUCGGAUUGUAAACCCCUUUCGGGAGGGAAGAUGGAGCGAGCAAUCGUUCGGACGGUACCUCCAGAAGCAGCCACGGCCAACUUCGUGCCAGCA
rnacentral:rRNA from 1 species